AUUGAACGCUGGCGGCAGGCUUAACACAUGCAAGUCGAGCGGGGUGAUGGUGCUUGCACUAUCACUUAGCGGCGGACGGGUGAGUAAUGCUUAGGAAUCUGCCUAUUAGUGGGGGACAACAUCUCGAAAGGGAUGCUGAUACCGCAUACGUCCUACGGGAGAAAGCAGGGGAUCACUUGUGACCUUGCGUUAAUAGAUGAGCCUAAGUCGGAUUAGCUAGUUGGUGGGGUGAAGGCCUACCAAGGCGACGAUCUGUAGCGGGUCUGAGAGGAUGAUCCGCCACACUGGGACUGAGACACGGCCCAGACUCCUACGGGAGGCAGCAGUGGGGAAUAUUGGACAAUGGGGGGAACCCUGAUCCAGCCAUGCCGCGUGUGUGAAGAAGGCCUUAUGGUUGUAAAGCACUUUAAGCGAGGAGGAGGCUCUUUUGGUUAAUACCCAAGAUGAGUGGACGUUACUCGCAGAAUAAGCACCGGCUAACUCUGUGCCAGCCGCCGCCGUAACAC
rnacentral:rRNA from 1 species